AACAAACAGAAUUCCAAAGGCUUUCUCUCUUUUCUGCUACAUAAAUGCUUUUAGUCCAACCAAGCGGCAACAAACAGCUGAAGGCUGAAGGGAGUGCGGAAAUGUUUAAUGAUACAGCUCAUUUUGACAUCAAGCACAUGCAACGGGUAUACCCGCAACUUCCUUUUUAAAAAAAUAGCAUCCUUUUUCUCAGCCCACAUCAUUUAAUGAGCUCAGUGGCUAAAGUGAACAUUAACUGAGUCGUUUUUCCAGUGUAAGAGUUACAUCUAAAUAGCUAGUGCAGAGUAUUUUUUCCUUUGAUGUGACCGGACGUGCGUUACAGUUCAUUCGUCUUCUUCAGGAGAAUAAAGCGUUCACCUUCCCGUAUGCAAACCUGCCGUCCGUCUGCUCCACGGUAGCUGUAGUCAUACUGGGCCUCGAGGACCACCGUACCACUGGGGACUCCACACACCGUCAUCCCCCUGGUGUUCACUACAGAUCCUGCAGCAGGCUGCUGAUGACCGAAAGAGCGCCGCCAAGAA